AAUGUAAAAACUAAAGAAAUUGGGCUAGAAAAUUGCUGAGACAGAGAUCGAAACUCAUAAAGCAAACCUUUUCAUUUCUGAUUUGGUAAAAGGAAUACUUUUCAUUCAAAAAUGAGUAAAUAUAUUUUUCCUGAAAUUGCACUAGAAAAGAUAAACAUCAGAGAUUCAGCCCAAUUUGGCAACUCCGUACUAUCGGAAUGUUUACCUUUGGAAUCUGUAUGAAUUUGUAAUUAUUUUCGAAAUUAGCGUUACAGGCAGUGUUUCACAGUCUAAAACUUCUGAAAUUUAUUCGAAGAAAGUUUUCAUAAUGGUAAGAUACGGAUAAUUUCAUGAAUUAAAUCCGAAGGAUUCUGUAAAUGGAACACAUUCGUAAGUAUAGGUUAACUUUAUGUUUGUUUUGGUUUUCAGUGUCGACUCAUACCACUGGUUUCAAUUAUAUGGUUUCAAUGGAUAAAUAUUUUUUUUGUUAUAGCCUUCCCAAUCGAGAUUCGAAAUGAUGGGUUUUCUCUUUGAGGUUUGGAAAUUGAUCGGAAAAAUCCUAGAUUCAUUUAUAUAUGCCCGAAUCACUUCAACUGGAUAUAAUUUGUGAUAAGAUUAGUAAACGUUAGCCCAUUGCCCUUCCAACUCCAUACAUUUGAGAGCAAAGAGACUAAGACUUCAAGCACUUCUCUGAUUAAAAGUAUGAGUACUUUAUCAGAGGACACUUUUCCGAAGAGGAAACCUAGGGCAAAAUUAGUUACCAAUUAUUUUGUUGUUAUGAUACCUACAUACAAUAUACAUGAGUAAAACCUCCAGACCCUCCCCAACCUUUUGAAAAGAAGCAUCAGAAGAAAUUGUUCAAUCAGAGAAAAUAUUUACAGAGAAAACAUUGAACCUAAAGUUUCUGCAAUCAAACGAAGUAGAAAAACCUAUGUUUGGGACAUGGCUGAAGAAGAAUUCAGUUCGGAUAAAACAAGGCCAAACUUCAUAUUCAUGAG